UAAAAAUGAUGCAGGUAUUUUGAUGC
rnacentral:piRNA from 1 species